GGUUGUGAUAAAGAGAUAAAACCUAAGUUGAGAUUUGUAAUCAGCGAAUCAGGCAAGUAUCCUACCUUUGCAUUUUCUUUAUGCAAUGGACAUGAGUAAGAAGUUUCAGAAUUAUUCUAUUCCUGUACAGAUUAUGUACGCUUUGAUUAUCAACAUGUUAGCUCAGAUAUAUAUUCUGUUAAGUUGAUUUCUAAAUGGUUAUACAAGUGUCCCCACUUGGAUAAUCAUGGCAUUUAUUCACAUGUUGAUAUACCUUUGUCAAUUACCCGUAUAUAUAUAUGUUGAAUUACAUAUUAUUGUUGAGCAAGAUUAAAAACCUUCGGGUUUGGAACCAGGCAUGUAUGAACAUCCCUAUAUGGGAAGAUUUUUGCGCAAGGCGGAUAGAGUGAGCGAUGAAUUUCGUUCAAGUUAUGUAGUAUUGAUCAAUACAGGGUACAACGGGGCUGAUCACCCUCCGUGCCCGUAAGUUAUGACGGUUUGAGGAUAGAAUUCCGCUAAACCUUUUCGAAAAUGAAAAGAAUGUUCAUAGUAUGUUUCUUAAACCCUAUUCAAGGGUAGAGCCAGAGCCAAAUUUAAAGAAUUUGAAAGAGAGUUGUUAUGUGAAUUUUUUAUCAGUACAGAUUACUUCACAACUUUCGAUUCGUUGUAGAAGUGUUAUGUAAAGAGAAUACUUAUAUUCUUUCAGCUUAUAUAUAUAAUUGCUAUUACUUGCUGGGCACUCAAAUGCUCAUCCUUGCUUAAACUAAAUGUUUUCAGUUACCUACGAUCGACCUGAAGGCUCAGGCACGAACAAGGGAAAAGAAAAGCUGUUCGAAUGAGAAUUAGUAUGAGUUAAUGGUUAUAGUUAGUAAGACAAUGGAAUCUAUUGUCAGGUAUUGUAAGGAAUGUAUUUGAAGGUCAUGUACAUGGGAAAGUAAACUUUGAUGUAUGUAAAUUCAGUUCGAAUUAUAUUAUUAUUUAGUAUUAUUCAGCUUAAAGAAAUGGUAUCGUGGAGAACCGAGU
rnacentral:lncRNA from 1 species